rnacentral:rRNA from 1 species
AUUGAACGCUGGCGGCAUGCUUUACACAUGCAAGUCGAACGGUAACAGGGUGCUUGCACCGCUGACGAGUGGCGAACGGGUGAGUAAUGCGUCGGAACGUGCCGAGUAGUGGGGGAUAACGCAGCGAAAGUUGUGCUAAUACCGCAUACGUGCUGCGGUAGAAAGUGGGGGACCUUCGGGCCUCACGCUAUUCGAGCGGCCGACGUCUGAUUAGCUAGUAGGUGAGGUAAAGGCUCACCUAGGCGACGAUCAGUAGCGGGUCUGAGAGGAUGAUCCGCCACACUGGGACUGAGACACGGCCCAGACUCCUACGGGAGGCAGCAGUGGGGAAUUUUGGACAAUGGGCGAAAGCCUGAUCCAGCCAUGCCGCGUGUCUGAAGAAGGCCUUCGGGUUGUAAAGGACUUUUGUCAGGGAGGAAAUCCCUAGUGCUAAUAACACUGGGGGAUGACAGUACCUGAAGAAUAAGCACCGGCUAACUACGUGCCAGCCGCCGCAGUAA